rnacentral:lncRNA from 1 species
AAGUUUGGGCCAGGGUGGCCUUCCAACCUGAGUUCUCUACUAUUGGAGUAUCAUGAUACUCAUGGAUCAAAGAAAGACGCAUGUUCUCCCAAGCAGGUAUAAAAACGCGUCCCUUAUAGAAUAAUAAGCCUUAGGAAAAGUGAUAUUGUGUGGUCUGAGUAGAUUCUGAAGUAUGUUUUUGUAUAACUGUCUGCCCAUCUGGUGUAGUAAAAAAAUGCUUCAAACAGUCUAGAAUAUGAGGAAAUGGUGAAGACAAAGCUGCCAGAAUGGGAGAAUCCUCACUACAACAUCGAGAUAAGGUAUUUGUCACUCUAUUUGAGAUACCAGACCUAUACUUUAUUACAUAUUGAAAUCCAAUUAAUUUGGUUGUCCAUUUUUGCUGUUCUGGUGUCUGAAAUCCUUGAGUCAUCAAGUGUCUCAAACUUUGUUGAUCAGUGUAUAUUGUAAAUUGUUUACCUAACAAAUAUUGUCUCCAUUUCUUGACAGAUUUUGUUACGGCAAACAUUUCCCGAACAUAGGCAGAGGAAUGUUGCAUUCUGGGGGACAUCUUCUUACUAAAGUAAGCAAGUGGAUGACCCUUUUGAGAGAGGACUGCCCCAAUGGCCACAAUGGAUGCAUCGGUCUUAACAGCAAAGGGUUCUGAGAAAUCAGGAAGUUGUAGUACUAGUGUUGUUGUCAUUGUUGUUUUUAGAAUUGUAAAGGUAGAGUGUGCCUUUGUAGACCAAGCAAAUUGUUGUAAUUUUAAUAAAUCAGUAAGGGGAGCGG